rnacentral:sRNA from 1 species
UCGCCAGCUGAGCGACCAUGACGGAAACC